rnacentral:rRNA from 1 species
GAUUCUGGCUCAGGAUGAACGCUAGCGACAGGCUAACACAUGCAAGUCGAGGGGCAGCAUAAAAGUAGCAAUACCUUGGUGGCGACCGGCGCACGGGUGAGUAACGCGUAUGCAACCUACCUAUCAGGAGGGGAAUAACCCGGCGAAAGUCGGACUAAUACCGCAUAAAACAGGGGCACCGCAUGGUGAUAUUUGUUAAAGAAAUUCGCUGAUAGAUGGGCAUGCGUUCCAUUAGGUAGUUGGUGAGGUAACGGCUCACCAAGCCGACGAUGGAUAGGGGAACUGAGAGGUUGGUCCACCACACUGGUACUGAGACACGGACCAGACUCCUACGGGAGGCAGCAGUGAGGAAUAUUGGUCAAUGGGCGGGAGCCUGAACCAGCCAAGUCGCGUGAAGGAAGAAGGAUCUAUGGUUCGUAAACUUCUUUUGCAGGGGAAUAAAGUGCAGGACGUGUCCUGUUUUGUAUGUACCCUGAGAAUAAGGAUCGGCUAACUCCGUGCCAGCCGCCGC